rnacentral:rRNA from 1 species
AAAUUGAAGAGUUUGAUCAUGGCUCAGAUUGAACGCUGGCGGCAGGCCUAACACAUGCAAGUCGAACGGUAACAGGAAGCAGCUUGCUGCUUUGCUGACGAGUGGCGGACGGGUGAGUAAUGUCUGGGAAACUGCCUGAUGGAGGGGGAUAACUACUGGAAACGGUGGCUAAUACCGCAUAACGUCGCAAGACCAAAGAGGGGGACCUUCGGGCCUCUUGCCAUCAGAUGUGCCCAGAUGGGAUUAGCUUGUUGGUGAGGUAACGGCUCACCAAGGCGACGAUCCCUAGCUGGUCUGAGAGGAUGACCAGCCACACUGGAACUGAGACACGGUCCAGACUCCUACGGGAGGCAGCAGUGGGGAAUAUUGCACAAUGGGCGCAAGCCUGAUGCAGCCAUGCCGCGUGUAUGAAGAAGGCCUUCGGGUUGUAAAGUACUUUCAGCGGGGAGGAAGGUGUUGUGGUUAAUAACCGCAGCAAUUGACGUUACCCGCAGAAGAAGCACCGGCUAACUCCGUGCCAGCAGCCGCGGUAAUACGGAGGGUGCAAGCGUUAAUCGGAAUUACUGGGCGUAAAGCGCACGCAGGCGGUCUGUCAAGUCGGAUGUGAAAUCCCCGGGCUCAACCUGGGAACUGCAUUCGAAACUGGCAGGCUUGAGUCUUGUAGAGGGGGGUAGAAUUCCAGGUGUAGCGGUGAAAUGCGUAGAGAUCUGGAGGAAUACCGGUGGCGAAGGCGGCCCCCUGGACAAAGACUGACGCUCAGGUGCGAAAGCGUGGGGAGCAAACAGGAUUAGAUACCCUGGUAGUCCACGCCGUAAACGAUGUCUACUUGGAGGUUGUGCCCUUGAGGCGUGGCUUCCGGAGCUAACGCGUUAAGUAGACCGCCUGGGGAGUACGGCCGCAAGGUUAAAACUCAAAUGAAUUGACGGGGGCCCGCACAAGCGGUGGAGCAUGUGGUUUAAUUCGAUGCAACGCGAAGAACCUUACCUGGUCUUGACAUCCACAGAACUUUCCAGAGAUGGAUUGGUGCCUUCGGGAACUGUGAGACAGGUGCUGCAUGGCUGUCGUCAGCUCGUGUUGUGAAAUGUUGGGUUAAGUCCCGCAACGAGCGCAACCCUUAUCCUUUGUUGCCAGCGGUCCGGCCGGGAACUCAAAGGAGACUGCCAGUGAUAAACUGGAGGAAGGUGGGGAUGACGUCAAGUCAUCAUGGCCCUUACGACCAGGGCUACACACGUGCUACAAUGGCGCAUACAAAGAGAAGCGACCUCGCGAGAGCAAGCGGACCUCAUAAAGUGCGUCGUAGUCCGGAUUGGAGUCUGCAACUCGACUCCAUGAAGUCGGAAUCGCUAGUAAUCGUGGAUCAGAAUGCCACGGUGAAUACGUUCCCGGGCCUUGUACACACCGCCCGUCACACCAUGGGAGUGGGUUGCAAAAGAAGUAGGUAGCUUAACCUUCGGGAGGGCGCUUA